rnacentral:lncRNA from 1 species
UUGAGGACUCUGGAGCGACCAUCUAGUUCCAGCUUUCCAGUUCUUCUUGCCCAUGUGCAUUCACUCCAAGGACUUCUGAUUCAUCCAGUCUGAGGCAGUGAUGGGAAGACCCCUCAGAGACUACACUGAAAUGACCAAGAUCCAUGGUCAAGAGAAAAGCCUAUAUACCUUCUCUGAGCCUAAUCUAAUGUGCUCCUUACUGUCUGAUUUCAGGAGAGGGAGAAAGACUGCUGUAGAAAAACAGAAGGACAAAUUUUGGAGAAUUGGGAUUUCUACCUAGAUAGAAAAGACUGAGUGAAUCAGGUCUCUGUUUAAUACAUAUUCAGCAACUCUCCCUGUGGGGAAUAGGUUGCUUCAAUUGGUUUCACUAUGAGUGGCUGCCUGCAUACUUCACAAGCAAAGCACAGGUCCAUCCCUCCUGCUUACACUGCCU